rnacentral:rRNA from 1 species
AUUGAACGCUGGCGGCAUGCCUUACACAUGCAAGUCGAACGGCAGCACGGGUGCUUGCACCUGGUGGCGAGUGGCGAACGGGUGAGUAAUACAUCGGAACAUGUCCUGUAGUGGGGGAUAGCCCGGCGAAAGCCGGAUUUAUACCGCAUACGAUCUACGGAUGAAAGCGGGGGACCUUCGGGCCUCGCGCUAUAGGGUUGGCCGAUGGCUGAUUAGCUAGUUGGUGGGGUAAAGGCCUACCAAGGCGACGAUCAGUAGCUGGUCUGAGAGGACGACCAGCCACACUGGGACUGAGACACGGCCCAGACUCCUACGGGAGGCAGCAGUGGGGAAUUUUGGACAAUGGGCGAAAGCCUGAUCCAGCAAUGCCGCGUGUGUGAAGAAGGCCUUCGGGUUGUAAAGCACUUUUGUCCGGAAAGAAAUCCUUGGCCCUAAUACGGUCGGGGGAUGACGGUACCGGAAGAAUAAGCACCGGCUAACUACGUG